UACGAAGGGGGCUAGCGUUGCUCGGAAUCACUGGGCGUAAAGGGUGCGUAGGCGGGUCUUUAAGUCAGGGGUGAAAUCCUGGAGCUCAACUCCAGAACUGCCUUUGAUACUGAGGAUCUUGAGUUCAGGAGAGGUGAGUGGAACUGCGAGUGUAGAGGUGAAAUUCGUAGAUAUUCGCAAGAACACCAGUGGCGAAGGCGGCUCACUGGCCCGGUACUGACGCUGAGGCACGAAAGCGUGGGGAGCAAACAGG
rnacentral:rRNA from 1 species